GAUGAACGCUGGCGGCGUGCCUAAUACAUGCAAGUCGAGCGAACAGAUGAGGCGCUUGCGCCUCGCACGUGAGCGGCAGACGGGUGAGUAACACGUGGAUAACCUACCUAUAAGACGGGGAUAACUUCGGGAAACCGGAGCUAAUACCGGAGAAGAUAUUGAACCGCAGGGUGCAAUAGUGAAAGACGGUUGUGCUGUCACUUAUAGAUGGAUCCGCGCCGCAUUAGCUAGUUGGUAAGGUAACGGCUUACCAAGGCAACGAUGCGUAGCCGACGGCAGAGGGUGAUAGCCCACCUUGGAACUUGGCCACGCACCUGGCGCCUGCGGGAGGCAGCAGUCUGGUACCGUCCGCAGUGGGCGGGAGCAUGGCGGAGCAAGCGCGCGUGUGUGACGACGGCCCUCCGAUCGUAAAGAUCUGUUAUGAGUGAUGAACAAAUGUCGACUGAGCCAUGCCCGUAUUGACGGUACCUAAUAAGAAAGCCCCGGCUAACUACGUG
rnacentral:rRNA from 1 species